rnacentral:rRNA from 1 species
UCCAGUCCAUACCCCCCUGAACGAGCCCUAUAUCGUCUGAUUUCGGAAGCUAAGCAGGGUCGGUCCUGGUUAUUACUUGAGUAGAUUUCUAAAAAUGUAGAUUCUUAGAAAAUAGUGGAU